rnacentral:rRNA from 1 species
AACGUAGGAGACGAACGUUAUCCGGAGUUACUGGGCGUAAAGGGCGUGCAGGCGGUCUGAUAAGUUCGGCGUGAAAUAUUCGGGCUUAACCGGGAUAGGUCGUCGGAGACUGUCGGACUAGAGGGCGAUAGAGGCGUGUGGAAUUCCGGGUGUAGUGGUGAAAUGCGUAGAGAUCCGGAGGAACACCAGUGGCGAAGGCGACACGCUGGGUCGCACCUGACGCUAAAACGCGACAGCAUGGGGAGCGAAC